UACGUAGGUGGCAAGCGUUGUCCGGAUUUAUUGGGCGUAAAGCGAGUGAAGGCGGUUCAAUAAGUCUGAUGUGAAAGCCUUCGGCUCGACCGGAGAAUUGCAUCAGAAACUGUUGAACUUGAGUGCAGAAGAGGAGAGUGGAACUCCAUGUGUAGCGGUGGAAUGCGUAGAUAUAUGGAAGAACACCAGUGGCGAAGGCGGCUCUCUGGUCUGCAACUGACGCUGAGGCUCGAAAGCAUGGGUAGCGAACAGG
rnacentral:rRNA from 1 species